GACGAACGCUGGCGGCGUGCCUAACACAUGCAAGUCGAACGGGGGAAUUUAUUUCGGUAGAUUCCUUAGUGGCGAACGGGUGAGUAACGCGUGAACAAUCUGUCUUUCAGAGGGGGAGUAACACCUGGAAACAAGUGCUAAUACCGCAUAGGACCACGGGUCGACAUGAUCCUGGGGUGGAAAGGAGCAAUCCGCUGAAGGAGGAGUUCGCGUCCCAUUAGGUAGAUGGCGGGGUAAAGGCCCACCAUGCCAACGAUGGGUAGCCGAGCUGAGAGGCUGAACGGCCACACUGGAACUGAGAGACGGUCCAGACUCCUACGGGAGGCAGCAGUGGGGGAAUAUUGGGCGAAUGGGCGAAAGCCUGACCCAGCAACGCCGCGUGAGGGAAGGAAGGUUUUACGGUAGUUGUAAACCUACUGUCGC
rnacentral:rRNA from 1 species